GUUGGUGAGGUAAAGGCUCACCAAGCCAACGAUCUGUAGCUGGUCUGAGAGGACGACCAGCCACACUGGAACUGAGACACGGUCCAGACUCCUACGGGAGGCAGCAGUGGGGAAUUUUGGACAAUGGACGCAAGUCUGAUCCAGCCAUUCCGCGUGCAGGAUGAAGGCCUUCGGGUUGUAAACUGCUUUUGUACGGAACGAAAAGGUUUCUAUUAAUACUAGGGGCUCAUGACGGUACCGUAAGAAUAAGCACCGGCUAACUACGUGCCAGCAGCCGCGGUAAUACGUAGGGUGCAAGCGUUAAUCGGAAUUACUGGGCGUAAAGCGUGCGCAGGCGGUUAUAUAAGACAGAUGUGAAAUCCCCGGGCUCAACCUGGGAACUGCAUUUGUGACUGUAUAGCUAGAGUACGGUAGAGGGGGAUGGAAUUCCGCGUGUAGCAGUGAAAUGCGUAGAUAUGCGGAGGAACACCGAUGGCGAAGGCAAUCCCCUGGGCCUGUACUGACGCUCAUGCACGAAAGCGUGGGGAGCAAACAGGAUUAGAUACCCUGGUAGUCCACGCCCUAAACGAUGUCAACUGGUUGUUGGGUCU
rnacentral:rRNA from 1 species